CCUCGUGUGUGGAAGCUCCCUCUGCCUCACAGAGAUACGUAUGGUGGCGUUUGGAACUCACUGCAGAUAACCCAGGAUCAAUUCCUCAUCUCGUCAUGCUUAAUUUAAUCACAUCUUUUGCCUUUUAAGGGACAGUCACAGAUUGUGGGGAUACGAUGUGGUUAUCUUUGGGGGGUCAUCUUUCAGUCUACCAGGGAUGAAAAAGAAGGGCCUGGAGGGCCAUGGGUUGCCCAGCUUGCAGCACAGAAGGAAAUCAGCAGGCAAACAGGGAGGGUGUAUGCAGACCCAGCCAUCAAAUGUACACUCUAAGAAGAAAACAAGCAAAUCGGCGUUUUCUGCAGGUGAAGCCUCGAUCAUACACCUGGCAAAGAAACAUGAGAAAG